rnacentral:lncRNA from 1 species
GUCUUUAUUUAUCCGUUGGAUGUGACAUCCGACUUCCUCUUUAGUUGCGCCAGGCUGUGUGCGUGGUGCGGGAUGGGGACCCCUGGAGACCGCCCUUUCGGAUCGGGCCGGUCCCUCUGAGGAGGAGGUGAAGUCGGCUCGGAGCCUCCACUCACAGGCGGUGGGCUACGGUCUGCCUGUGUCUACCAGCUUUGUUGGCUUUCCUUGCUGAGACACCACACAGGGCAGCUCUGGAGUCCUGGCUUGGAGAGGUGGGGUUAUUUGCUGAAUCGGAUUGACAGUCCUCGCCGCAGGUCUGUGGAAUGGUAACAGCCACCUUCGCGGACUCUGCUGCUCUUACAUUGACACUAACAGGCACCAAACCAAGUUGCAUGACAAAACUCUUUGCAGCUCUUUCCACGAAAAAAGGAAACGGCUUGCUACCCCCACCCCCGUUUAUUCGUGGGUAGUGAAAGGAACUUUGUUUUGGGGUCCUGGUAGGCAGAGAGGCAAUCUUGACUUUGACUACAGGGUCAGACUUGCCAGCCCUUGGUAUUAAAUACCUCAAACUUGUCCAUGGGUUGCAUCUGCUGCCUUGCGUUCUCCAGUUAGUAUCCAGCCAGAACAUCUUGCAACUGAAGUGCAGUCCGUCACCACAAUGAUUUGCAAUGAUUUGUUCUCCUGCCUUUUAGAUUCAAUUUUUUUAGCUUGUUUUUCCUAAAUAUUUACAGGUGUUUGGCGGGGUUGGUGAUGGGGAAAUCACUGAGUUAAAAUUCAUGUUAUUGUUAAAUUUAGUAAGAAGAGCAGCUGGUACUUGUGAUGAAUGUAUUUGUUCUCAUUGGUUCCAGAGCAUUUAAAAGUGUAAGUUGAUAUCAGGAUUUCCUUCACCUUUUGGUCACAUACUUUGCCAACUGUUAGACAUUUGCGUAUUUUAAAUCCUACAGUUUUAGCGUGUCUUGGGCCUGUCAUCUUUGCUAGUACACGUUGCUGUACUUGUCUGUUAAUCCCUAGAUCUUCAAAGUACAAAGAAUGGUUCUAAUAGGUAUUGUUAUCACAUAUAAGAAAGAACAUCACAUAGAAGUUUAGAGUUGUAAGGACUCUAAGGAUGAUCUAGCCCAAACCCUUCAUUUUCUAAAUGACAAAACAGAUCUGGAGAAGUGAAGCAAGUCUUCCUCAAAGAAUGCCAGCUAUAGGCCUGCAGGACUGGGACUAGCUCUUGUCUUCUGCCUUCCAGGGGAAGUAUCAAGGUGACAUGAGGGGACAGGAAAUAUUGUCCCUAAAUGUUCUAAGAGUGGAUCUCCCAUGUAUUCAAGCAAUCGAGGGGUGUUUAAUGAGCUCCAUCUACAUAGCAAUGAUACAGCAUAGCUCUGCUGGGGCUCUCUGCUCUCCCCUUCUCCACAAAAGGGAAGGACAGAGAUGGGGUCUCACUGUGUUUCCCAGGCUGGUCACAAACUCCUGGCCUCAAGCCAUCUUCCCAUCUCAGCCUUCAAAGUGUGGGAUUACAGGGAACAAAAGGGUACAUUGUAAGGAAUCUGUUUCCUGGACUGGGAAGCCAUAUUUCAGCAACCUAUGCCCAGCUACCCCACCCAAUGUGACUUGUUACACAUCUGGGAUGCAGAUCUGUUAGCGCUGCCUUGCUUGGAAGCCCUUACUGACAGUGAGCAGAUGAAUAAUUAACCUAAUAAGUUCUCGUGCGAUCUCUUUGCUGCCUGGCGUCAUGUUCAGAGAUGAGACUUCCUGAGCAGAAGCUGAAACAAUUUUUUUCUAUGACAUUGCAAAUAAGGACCAUGCUUGAAUGAAAUAAAAACUGACUGCUCGUUCA